AAAGUCGUAACAAGGUUUCCGUAGGUGAACCUGCGGAAGGAUCAUUACAAGAUGAGGGGCUCCGGCCUCAAAUCCCGCCCUUGUGUCAUUGUCAGGAGUCUGCGCGGCCCGUGAGAACGGGACGCAGCGUGACUUCCACAUCACUUCGGUCGAUGUGUGUUUGGUCUCUUGGAGGCGGGGAGCAUUAUGCUCUUGGCCGAAGAGGACCGGACCGCGGCCGGCAGGUGCAUUCGUGCGCUUGACCACACAUCCUUUUGAGAACUUUUGAAGUCUGAUCAAACAUAUAAUGUAAAGCAAAACUUUCAACAACGGAUCUCUUGGCUCUG
rnacentral:misc_RNA from 1 species